AUAUUUACCUGACAGGGAAAUUCCAUGAUCAGGAAGGUGGUUUCCCCUGGUCGAGGCUCUCCCAUUGCACUCCAGGUGUGCUGACCCUGUGAUUUCCCCAAAUAUGUGAAACUAAACCGCAUAAUUUGUGAUAGUGGGGGACUGCGUGUGCGCUCUUCCCCC